UAGGGAAUUUUCCACAAUGGGCGAAAGCCUGAUGGAGCAACGCCGCGUGCAGGACGAAGGCCUUCGGGUUGUAAACUGCUUUUAUCUGUGACGAAUAUGACGGUAGCAGAUGAAUAAGGAUCGGCUAACUCCGUGCCAGCAGCCGCGGUCAUACGGAGGAUCCAAGCGUUAUCCGGAAUUACUGGGCGUAAAGAGUUGCGUAGGUGGCAUGGUAAGUUGCUAGUGAAAGCCUGGGGCUCAACCCCUUACCCAUUAGCAAAACUGCCAAGCUAGAGGACGAAAGAGGUACCUGGAAUUCCUAGUGUAGGAGUGAAAUCCGUAGAUAUUAGGAGGAACACCGAUGGCGUAGGCAGGGUACUGGUUCGUUUCUGACACUAAGGCACGAAAGCAUGGGUAGCAAACGGGAUUAGAUACCCCUGUAGUCC
rnacentral:rRNA from 1 species